GAGAAGUGAGCACCAGCCGCUGUGCAAAGGGUCUGCAGGGUGAGAGGCCUGCGGCCUCCCUAUGUAUAACUGAAGAGGACUAAUCGCUCGCUCUUUUGCCCCCAGGAAGAGUCCAGCGGGGCCCCCUGACGCCCACGGCCAUCCUGUGUGGACACCCACCAUUCACCCUCCUAAGGCCGGGCGUCCACAGGACACAAUUGAAGAACGUUGAAGACUCCUGCUUUAAACUAAGGCAUUGCAUUUUAACCAACCCUCGUAGUCCCGGUCCUGUCUUUGUUCGACGCUUCCUCACCCCAAGUCCGUGGUCCAGGGUGUAUUCUGUCCCCCGCUCGAUGUUAGAUGGGAUUGACUCCAGCCUAUUACAUUAUAUAUUCUGUGUGCAAGUUGUCUGACUGAACUGUAGUUAAGAAUAUGAACUAUAAUGGUGCAACAUAAACUGAUUAAAUAAAGAGUUUAACAUCUUGUCACUCCC
ensembl:lncRNA